AUGUGAUCGUCUCUCGCAUAUCAAUAAGCGGAGGAAAAGAAACUAACAAGGAUUCCCCUAGUAACGGCGAGUGAAGCGGGAAGAGCUCAAAUUUGAAAUCUUAAAGGGUUUCCCUUUACGAAUUGUAGUUUAAAGAAGUGUUUUCUGUUGAGGUUUUGGUAAAAGUUCUUUGGAAUAGGACAUCAUAGAGGGUGAGAAUCCCGUAUUUGACCUUUACCUUCAACUUUGUGAUACACUUUCAAAGAGUCGGAUUGUUUGGGAAUGCAGUCCAAAAUGGGUGGUAAAUUUCAUCUAAAGCUAAAUAUUGGCGAGAGACCGAUAGCGAACAAGUACCGUGAGGGAAAGAUGAAAAGAACUUUGAAAAGAGAGUUAAACAGUACGUGAAAUUGUCAAAAGGGAAGCGUUUGACACCAGUGUUGUUUUUCUGAAAAUCAAUUAAAGAACUGUUUAUGCUAAGUUGUUUAGACUUUAUCAGCUAUCUGUUUAGUUUUGAGCUUUUCUUUAAUGCACUUUUCAGUUAACAAGUCAACAUCAAUUUCUUUUGCUGUAAAAAAGCUUGAGGAAGGUGGCUUGAGAUUCGUCUUAAGUGUUUAUAGCCUCUUGCCUAUGCAGUCGGAGAGAUUGAGGUCUGCAGCGUAGAUCCUUCGGGGCUAAAUGCAUUUGUGCUAAGUUAUAGCAUUUUCAUAGACAACUUGUUGACUAUGAUUUGUCUUGUAGCUUACUCGCUUAUGUUAUUUUACCUACGCUUAGGAUGUUGAUCUACAGAGCGAGAGU
rnacentral:rRNA from 1 species